AUGAAACAGGCUAUGUGUGCGCAUCAAGUUUAAACGGCUCGUCCGCGAGACGCGCAACGCGGGGAAGAGUCGCGCGAGUAUGAAACGGGCUAUGUGUGCGCGUCAAGUUUAAACGGCUCGUCCGCAAGACGCGCAACGCGGGGAAGAGUCGCGCGAGUAUGAAACAGGCUAUGUGUGCGCAUCAAGUUUAAAUGGCUCAUCCGCGAGACGCGCAACACGGGGAAGAGACGAGCGAGUAUGAAACGGGCUAUGUGUGCGCGUCAAGUUUAAACGGCUCGUCCGCAAGACGCGCAACGCGGGGGUUAGAGAGCGAGUAUAACACAGGCGGUGUGUACGGGCUUCUGAAUUGGAUGGUUCUUUAGUAUUUAUUUGCCUAAUAUGAUCGAUCUGACUCUGCAGAUGCCAUAACACACACUCUCUCUCUCUCGCCCGCUUUCUGUUUUUUUUUUUUGAUUAGGCAUAACGGAGGUGCGUUCACUCUGUUGGUUAGCAAGAAUGCCACUCAAAGCGGGCUUGGAACAGACGCGUUUCCUAUAUUUCACAUCGUUUCCACAUCGCAGCCUCUUGCGAUUAGCAAAUCGCAACGUCUCACAUCGUGAUUGCGAUUCGAUUUCGAUUAAACGUUCAGCCCUAUUAUUGUGUCAUAAAAUGUAGUUUUAAGACUUGUUUAGGCGAGAAUGUAUGUGUGUUAAGUUCAAAACAUCGAUCGGCUAGAUAACGUCUAUUUAGAAAUGUGCUCAAAUGUUUUCGGAGAUGUGACCUCCAAACAACCACCGGGAGCUCCGUGCUCAUGUACCCCGCCCAACACUGUCUCACCUUGGUAGGUCCUGCUGAAAAUCACUGCUGUUUGUUAUGUCUCUGUAGUAGUUAAACAACGUAUUUUAUUUUAUUUUAGGUAUAUAUAAGUCAAUCUUUGCUCUCAUUAGUCUAUUAGUUUCUGUGCAGAUCGUUUUGAAAGAGGGUAAAUUGUAUAACUUUAUAUUAUAUUACGUAGCACAGUAAACAACAUGCACAAUACGGUAAUCAGAGUGAGCACGUUGCCUGAUUCACAUGUUUUUUUUAAUUAAAACGACAGGAUCCAGUGGUUUAUAUAACUUCAUAUUACUGCGUUUAAAUGUAAAUCUACUAGGGCUGCAACAACUAAUCGAUAAAAUCGAUAAUAAUCGAUAAUGAAAUUCGUUGUCAACGAAUUUCAUUAUCGAUUAGUUGGUCUGUGAUGUCACUUGCGAGCUGCGCAGUUACAAAUCAAGCGCGUCUUCUUCCCUUUUAAAAUUACCAUUUUAGAUGUGUCUCUCCGUGCAGCAUGAGCUGCGCAGUUUUAAAUGUCAGACGUAUCUCUCCGUGCAGCAUGAGCUGCGCAGUUUUAAAUGUCAGACGUGUCUCUCCGUGCAGCGUGAGGUGCGCAGUUUGAAAGUCACACGUGUCUCUCCGUGCAGCGUGCGGUGCGCAGUUUGAAAGUCACACGUGUCUCUCCGUGCAGCGUGCGGUGCGCAGUUUGAAAGUCACACGUGUCUCUCCGUGCAGCGCGAGGUGCGCAGUUUGAAAGUCACACGUGUCUCUCCGUGCAGCGCGAGGUGCGCAGUUUGAAAGUCACACGUGUCUCUCCGUGCAGCGCGAGGUACGCAGUUUGAAAGUCACACGUGUCUCUCCGUGGAUGCGUCUCUCCGUGCGGCACAAGUUGCGCAGUUUUAAAAUCAGACGUGUCUCUCGGUGCAUGCGUCUCUCCAUGCAGCGCGAGGUGCACAGUUUUAAAGUCCGUCGUGUUCUGCAUGCAUCUUUUCAAGCUGCGUAGUUUUAAAGUUUAAAAGGGAGAGGUGUUUAAAUGACAAAAUUAAAGAUUAUAUUAGUAAAACCCAAUUUGUGGCGUUUGCACUUUGCAAAGUACAUAAUAGGCUAAAUACCCUGAUUUGGUGGUUUAUUUAGUUCAGAGGUGGGUAACGAAGUACAUUUACUUGAGUACUGUACUUAAGUACACUUUUUGAGUAUUUGUACAGAAGUAUUACUUUUUCUGUUUACUUUUUACUGUACUUCACUACAUUUUAAUGACAAAUAUCUCACUUUUCAUGGCACAAAAAAUGAUUUCCUUGGCCGACCCUCCCCUCGCUCCCACGUUUGGGAGAGACUAUUGUCAGUUGCUUCUAAUAUGACACACCUGAAUCAACUCACCAGGUGUGUUAAUUAUGGAGACAUUCACAACAUUUUGGGAGAAGGCUAAUGAGUUCAGUUGUGUAUACUUUUCCCAUAUCUGAUUUACUUAUUAUAAGCAAAAGAUGUAAUUGCAUUUUAUCCGAUUAACCGAAAAAAAUAAUAAUCGCCCAACUAAUCGAUUAUCAAAAUAAUCGUUAGUUGCAGCCCUAAAAUCUACAUAAAAAUAAAAUGGAUUGCAUGUAUGUAUCACGGCUGUUUGAAGCAUCAUGUACUCUGCUGUGUCCUGAACUACGUCCUGCCAUUCGAAGUCCGAACCAGCAACAGCGGAAGUCCGUUCUUUGAGUUCGUCUAAUCAAGAAACGGCCUUUCUUUGCCGAAGCGAGGGGAACGUCAUUCAGAUGUAUUUAUGGUAAAUUAAUUUAAAUUAAACCUAUAUUUGUAAUAAUGUUGAUAUGGGGAUGUGGGGAGUGUUUUUUAUUGUGUGCCACUGCUAAUUGUCCUGGCUAUGUUAUGAGAAAGGUGUGUUUCAUAUUAAAUUUGGUUAGCACUCAUACGUAAUCCCUUUAGUAAUAUUCACUAAAGUUGCAUGCGGAAAGUUUGCUGGCACACAUUAAGAAUAGUUGUCAUAGAAGCGAUUGGGGUACGUUUAACGUUAGCAGUCUGUCUUCUGUUUCUGUCAAAUCCAGGAUCACUUUGGAAAAAUCAGAUAAACACCUCGUUGGGUUACUUUGACCCAGCGACUGGUUUAUAAUUUGCAGAUCUUUCUGGAGUUUUCACUUCUGACUGGAUCACACUCGGAGCAGGUAGAAAUUUAUGGUAAGUUAAUGUGACUUUUUACUUAUGUUUUUAAUAAGCUGUGGAAGGCGCAAACAUAAUUUAUUGUUCAAGAUAACAUUAAAUGAUUUGAUAUGGGCGGUGUUAAUGUUUUUUGUUAUUCUAUGCCAAUUAACUUAGCCAUGUUAAUAGUUAGCAAAUGCGUCAUCGUUAACGUUAGGUCGUAACGUUAGUUAAAAACGAGCUAUAUCUACCACCUUUUGAACAGUCAGAAAUUUACAAGUUGUAAAUUCAUCACUUCAAUAUCGUAUUCAUCAAGGUUUCCUCUGGAAUUUAAAAGGGGGAAAAGCUGUUGGUAUUUUAUCCAGACAGAGCGCCGUGAUCCCCUUAGCCCUAAUACGUUAAAUCCUGAGGUAAAUUAGUCAGAUACACAAAAGUUAAUGUUCACAUCAUGUACAUCAUGGCUUCAUUGCAUAUUUACAAGGGGGAAACGCGUAUUGUAUUAAAUCCUUGAAAGGAUUCUUGUGUAUGCUCUGCCAGAGGGGAAACUUCAAUUUGUACAGGGUGACAUGACACCAGGUAAGCUAUAUCUUAUAAUCUUAUGUCAUCAUUUUGUUGUGCAUUACUACUUCAGAAAUAUAAAUUAUUAUUUAUAUACAGUAUUAUGAAUUAUAUAAAGUAAACUAUUUAAAUGUUAACGCAACACUAUAUUGUGCUCAAAUUGUUUAGUUGCUAAAGCGGAGACAGCUUUGAAGGUCCUGCCAACUCUGCUACCCCCAUCUACAGGAUGUACAAGAGAGGAGGAAAGGUCUUCAGACCCACCACUGACGAGGCCCAGAGGUCAUUUAUUGACAUGCAACCUGGAUGGGCACAAGUACCAUAGUACUCGGAUGAGUCACGAUCAUCGUUUUAAUAACCGAUUGUUGCAAUUACAUUUUUAAAUAAGGUGGGGACCAACAUGGUGGAAUAUCUUCACAAUAUCGUGAUGACUGGAGAAUUGUUGCGCGUUUUGUGCCUUGCGGACGAGACAAGGGGGACCUGCUAGACAUUUGCCAUCGCUGGAUGCAAUGCCAUUGAGACAGACUCUUUGUUGGAGGCUGUUGAUGUCUGUUUUAAAGGUUUUUAGGUCUUUGAUGUUACGUACACAAAGCAGUGUCUUCACACCUGGGGGUUUCUCCAGCAUGCUGUAUAUCAGAUUGAUGGACACGAGUCGUCAUCUGUUAAAUUUUUGAGGACAACAGUUUUUUCAGCUGACAUUUAAUAACUUAUAAUUUUGUAAUUUAGUUAACUAUGAAGUUUUGUUGCAGGACUCCUUGUUCUUAAUAAACAUGUUCUUAUCAUUUUGAUAAAUGAAAAUAGUAUGUGGGGAAUGAUUAAUGUCAUGUGGGGGUUAAAACAUUUGUAUUAAAAACUUUUAUGCAUUAGCACAAUUCAAAACAUUGUAUUAAAAUGUACAAAAAUCGAAUAAAUUGAUGUUGUGUACCUUUUGGCACUUUUUUUUAGAAAACAAAAUAGGUUCUUGUCUACUAAAUCAAACAGAAUGGGUCAAAUAAAAUAACCCAGCACAUGAGUAACACUUAGUUUCACCCACUGGUUGGGUCAAAUGAACAACCCUGAAUUCUGGGUUAAAUGAUAUAACCCAGCACUUGGGUCAAACCAACCCAGUGCGUGUUCUGUCCAAUAGUGACCCAGC